AACGUAGGAGACAAACGUUAUCCGGAGUUACUGGGCGUAAAGGGCGUGUAGGCGGUCUGUUAAGUCUGGCGUGAAAGCUCUCGGCUAAACCGGGAGAGGUCGUUGGAUACUGGCAAACUAGAGGACGGUAGAGGCGUGUGGAAUUCCGGGUGUAGUGGUGAAAUGCGCAGAUAUCAGGAGGAACACCGGUGGCGAAGGCGGGUCUCUGGGCCGAAACUGACGCUGAGGAGCGAAAGCGUGGGGAGCAAACAGG
rnacentral:rRNA from 1 species